GACGAACGCUGGCGGCGUGCUUAACUCAUGCAAGUCGAACGGAAAGGCCCUGCUUUUGUGGGGUGCUCGAGUGGCGAACGGGUGAGUAACACGUGAGUAACCUGCCCUUGACUUUGGGAUAACUUCAGGAAACUGGGGCUAAUACCGGAUAGGAGCUCCUGCUGCAUGGUGGGGGUUGGAAAGUUUCGGCGGUUGGGGAUGGACUCGCGGCUUAUCAGCUUGUUGGUGGGGUAGUGGCUUACCAAGGCUUUGACGGGUAGCCGGCCUGAGAGGGUGGCCGGCCACAUUGGGACUGAGAUACGGCCCAGACUCCUACGGGAGGCAGCGGUGGGGAAUAUUGCACAAUGGGCGGAAGCCUGAUGCAGCAGCGCCGCGUGCGGGAUGACGGCCUUCGGGUUGUAAACCGCUUUCGCCUGUGACGAAGCGUGAGUGACGGUAAUGGAUAAAGAAGCACCGGCUAACUACGUG
rnacentral:rRNA from 1 species